rnacentral:rRNA from 1 species
GGGUUGUGAGGUUAAGCGACUAAGCGUACACGGUGGAUGCCCUGGCAGUCAGAGGCGAUGAAGGACGUGCUAAUCUGCGAUAAGCGUCGGUAAGGUGAUAUGAACCGUUAUAACCGGCGAUUUCCGAAUGGGGAAACCCAGUGUGUUUCGACACACUAUCAUUAACUGAAUCCAUAGGUUAAUGAGGCGAACCGGGGGAACUGAAACAUCUAAGUACCCCGAGGAAAAGAAAUCAACCGAGAUUCCCCCAGUAGCGGCGAGCGAACGGGGAGGAGCCCAGAGCCUGAAUCAGUGUGUGUGUUAGUGGAAGCGUCUGGAAAGGCGCGCGAUACAGGGUGACAGCCCCGUACACAAAAAUGCACAUGCUGUGAGCUCGAUGAGUAGGGCGGGACACGUGGUAUCCUGUCUGAAUAUGGGGGGACCAUCCUCCAAGGCUAAAUACUCCUGACUGACCGAUAGUGAACCAGUACCGUGAGGGAAAGGCGAAAAGAACCCCGGCGAGGGGAGUGAAAAAGAACCUGAAACCGUGUACGUACAAGCAGUGGGAGCACGCUUAGGCGUGUGACUGCGUACCUUUUGUAUAAUGGGUCAGCGACUUAUAUUCUGUAGCAAGGUUAACCGAAUAGGGGAGCCGAAGGGAAACCGAGUCUUAACUGGGCGUUAAGUUGCAGGGUAUAGACCCGAAACCCGGUGAUCUAGCCAUGGGCAGGUUGAAGGUUGGGUAACACUAACUGGAGGACCGAACCGACUAAUGUUGAAAAAUUAGCGGAUGACUUGUGGCUGGGGGUGAAAGGCCAAUCAAACCGGGAGAUAGCUGGUUCUCCCCGAAAGCUAUUUAGGUAGCGCCUCGUGAAUUCAUCUCCGGGGGUAGAGCACUGUUUCGGCAAGGGGGUCAUCCCGACUUACCAACCCGAUGCAAACUGCGAAUACCGGAGAAUGUUAUCACGGGAGACACACGGCGGGUGCUAACGUCCGUCGUGAAGAGGGAAACAACCCAGACCGCCAGCUAAGGUCCCAAAGUCAUGGUUAAGUGGGAAACGAUGUGGGAAGGCCCAGACAGCCAGGAUGUUGGCUUAGAAGCAGCCAUCAUUUAAAGAAAGCGUAAUAGCUCACUGGUCGAGUCGGCCUGCGCGGAAGAUGUAACGGGGCUAAACCAUGCACCGAAGCUGCGGCAGCGACACUGUGUGUUGUUGGGUAGGGGAGCGUUCUGUAAGCCUGUGAAGGUGUACUGUGAGGUAUGCUGGAGGUAUCAGAAGUGCGAAUGCUGACAUAAGUAACGAUAAAGCGGGUGAAAAGCCCGCUCGCCGGAAGACCAAGGGUUCCUGUCCAACGUUAAUCGGGGCAGGGUGAGUCGACCCCUAAGGCGAGGCCGAAAGGCGUAGUCGAUGGGAAACAGGUUAAUAUUCCUGUACUUGGUGUUACUGCGAAGGGGGGACGGAGAAGGCUAUGUUGGCCGGGCGACGGUUGUCCCGGUUUAAGCGUGUAGGCUGGUUUUCCAGGCAAAUCCGGAAAAUCAAGGCUGAGGCGUGAUGACGAGGCACUACGGUGCUGAAGCAACAAAUGCCCUGCUUCCAGGAAAAGCCUCUAAGCAUCAGGUAACAUCAAAUCGUACCCCAAACCGACACAGGUGGUCAGGUAGAGAAUACCAAGGCGCUUGAGAGAACUCGGGUGAAGGAACUAGGCAAAAUGGUGCCGUAACUUCGGGAGAAGGCACGCUGAUAUGUAGGUGAAGCGACUUGCUCGUGGAGCUGAAAUCAGUCGAAGAUACCAGCUGGCUGCAACUGUUUAUUAAAAACACAGCACUGUGCAAACACGAAAGUGGACGUAUACGGUGUGACGCCUGCCCGGUGCCGGAAGGUUAAUUGAUGGGGUCAGCGCAAGCGAAGCUCUUGAUCGAAGCCCCGGUAAACGGCGGCCGUAACUAUAACGGUCCUAAGGUAGCGAAAUUCCUUGUCGGGUAAGUUCCGACCUGCACGAAUGGCGUAAUGAUGGCCAGGCUGUCUCCACCCGAGACUCAGUGAAAUUGAACUCGCUGUGAAGAUGCAGUGUACCCGCGGCAAGACGGAAAGACCCCGUGAACCUUUACUAUAGCUUGACACUGAACAUUGAGCCUUGAUGUGUAGGAUAGGUGGGAGGCUUUGAAGUGUGGACGCCAGUCUGCAUGGAGCCGACCUUGAAAUACCACCCUUUAAUGUUUGAUGUUCUAACGUGGACCCGUGAUCCGGGUUGCGGACAGUGUCUGGUGGGUAGUUUGACUGGGGCGGUCUCCUCCUAAAGAGUAACGGAGGAGCACGAAGGUUGGCUAAUCCUGGUCGGACAUCAGGAGGUUAGUGCAAUGGCAUAAGCCAGCUUGACUGCGAGCGUGACGGCGCGAGCAGGUGCGAAAGCAGGUCAUAGUGAUCCGGUGGUUCUGAAUGGAAGGGCCAUCGCUCAACGGAUAAAAGGUACUCCGGGGAUAACAGGCUGAUACCGCCCAAGAGUUCAUAUCGACGGCGGUGUUUGGCACCUCGAUGUCGGCUCAUCACAUCCUGGGGCUGAAGUAGGUCCCAAGGGUAUGGCUGUUCGCCAUUUAAAGUGGUACGCGAGCUGGGUUUAGAACGUCGUGAGACAGUUCGGUCCCUAUCUGCCGUGGGCGCUGGAGAACUGAGGGGGGCUGCUCCUAGUACGAGAGGACCGGAGUGGACGCAUCACUGGUGUUCGGGUUGUCAUGCCAAUGGCACUGCCCGGUAGCUAAAUGCGGAAGAGAUAAGUGCUGAAAGCAUCUAAGCACGAAACUUGCCCCGAGAUGAGUUCUCCCUGACCCUUUAAGGGUCCUGAAGGAACGUUGAAGACGACGACGUUGAUAGGCCGGGUGUGUAAGCGCAGCGAUGCGUUGAGCUAACCGGUACUAAUGAACCGUGAGGCUUAACCUUACAACGCCGAAG